UUUAGAACUCGAGAUAUGGGCUGAACACUGAACAGUGUCUGGGCUGCAGGACAGAUUCUGACUUCUCCAUUGUUGCUACCAUUUGAACCCGAAAAUGACACUUUUAAAUCUUGGACUCUUCAUGAACGUUUUAGGCCUAUGUCAUAUCUUUCCAUA
rnacentral:pre_miRNA from 1 species